ensembl:snoRNA SNORA71 Small nucleolar RNA SNORA71
CCCUGCACUUGGAAGUGAUCACGGGCUGCCUGUGGCCUGCACUUUGGUAGUGCAGGCAGAGGAAACGUGGUAGGGUUGUCCUGCAUUUGGAGGGUUCCCAUCCUCACCCUCCAGUUGCGGGAGCUUUCCCACA